rnacentral:rRNA from 1 species
UACGAAGGGGGCUAGCGUUGUUCGGAAUUACUGGGCGUAAAGCGCGCGCAGGCGGUCUUCCAAGUCAGGGGUGAAAUCCUGGAGCUCAACUCCAGAACUGCCCUUGAUACUGGCGGUCUCGAGUCCGGGAGAGGUGAGUGGAACUGCGAGUGUAGAGGUGAAAUUCGUAGAUAUUCGCAAGAACACCAGUGGCGAAGGCGGACUCACUGGCCCGGUAC